rnacentral:lncRNA from 1 species
GCCGUGUUAUAAUUGUGACUUCGCCUAACCAAGUAAGCAAUUAGGGGUUCAAAAUAGAGGGGCUUGCAUACCAAAUAAGCUGAAAACAUUUCACGGUAAGUAGAGAGGGCAGAAAUUUUAAAAACAAAAAUGACUUGAAUAGUUUUACAAGAAGAGAUGAAAGCAAAUAAAGGGAGAGUGAUCAUAGGUUUAUAAUUAACAUGGAUCACAUCAAUACAACAUCCAGUAAUCUCUCCUCAGAAGAGAGGCUACGUGAGAUACUAGUCAUCGG